GUCUUAAAGCGAAUUAAAACUGAAAAAUGUUUGUAAGAAGUUUUGUGAGAACUGCAAAAACAAUAAUAAAAAAGGGCAUUCUUUAUUGAUCAAUGAUGCGACGGGGGUUUGAAAAUCUAUUAAGGGAUACAUGUAUACCUCUUCGUAGAAAAUUUCCUAGAAUAAGGAAAUGAGAAGGCGUUUAAUGAUAUAUUUGAUAUUUGAAAAAGUGUAAAGUCACGGCUUCUUAUAGAGCUUAAUAAUGGUUCCAGCGAUGAUCUUUACGAAAGGUUGCGAAAAGAAAGCAUAAUGCGCAUCAUGUCUCCUAGAUGUGAACAGGAAACUCCAUCGUACCCAUUAAUACGCACCAGACCCCUGCAUGAAUCCACAGUAUUCAUAAUAUCACAGCUAUACUGAUGUCCCCGCAUUAGGGGUUCGAUCCCUACGGAUCCUUCCUUCAGUCAGAUUUGAAUCACCCCGAAUCCAAGCACUGCGGAUUGAAAAUCAGGAAGUUUCGUUCGCAUUUCUUUUAAAUGACUCAAAACAUAACACUAAGCACUGGAAAAAUGUUCAAAUGGCGCUAAAAAUUCUCUUACUAUAUCUCAUUCGUAUUCAAGAGAAUAAACCGAUAGAGAAGUUGUAAGAAAGCCGAAUCGGUUCGGUCGCCUGUUCGUGCAGGGCUCUGAUACAUUCAGAGGAAACACUUCCCGCUGUUUGUUGUUGUCAUACAUAAGAUGUAUAUUCAGAUGCAUCAUUGCUCGUCGUCUAUUUCAAAGUUUAUUCUUGAUUAUUAUGCCUUAAAAUUGUUUGUUUUUCUUUGAUUUGUUAUAAAAUGUAAAUUACACACGAGAGUACGUUACACAAAAAAUUAUACAAUUCGUUUCUUCUUCAUCAUGUAUUGUUGUUGUUGUUACAAUUCGUUUUGUUAGUCGCAGUUGUUUUUAAAUAUAAUUUUUUAUGUAUAAUUAAAAUGCCGUAGACUACAUAAAAAUUGUUCUGUAGAUCCGUCUUAAUUAAGGUUUUAAUGCUAAACACAUUGCUACUGUGGCUGUGGCUCCCCAAAGGAGUCAAAUGGGGCGUCAUUAUCGUCGGAGUCCAUCGUUUCCUGGUUCUCGCUGUCGUUGGUUGUCCUGGUCGCUGUCUACAUCGCGUAAAAGUAAGUCUUAAAAGAUUGGAACAGAGCCGAAAGGUUUGCGGUGACAUGACUGAAGAGAAAAA
rnacentral:sRNA from 1 species